rnacentral:rRNA from 1 species
UACGUGGGGUGCAAGCGUUGUUCGGAAUUACUGGGCGUAAAGCGUGAGGAGGCGGCUCGCUAAGUCAGAUGUGAAAGCCCCGGGCUUAACCUGGGAACUGCGUUUGAAACUGGGAGACUUGAGUGUGGCAGAGGGGGGUGGAAUUCCACGUGUAGCAGUGAAAUGCGUAGAUAUGUGGAGGAACACCGAUGGCGAAGGCAGCCCCCUGGGUUAACACUGACGCUCAUGCACGAAAGCGUGGGGAGCAAACAGG